UACGUAGGGGGCGAGCGUUGUCCGGAUUUAUUGGGCGUAAAGAGCUCGUAGGCGGUCUGUUACGUCCGCUGUGAAAACCCAGGGCUUAACCCUGGGCUUGCAGUGGAUACGGGCAGACUAGAGGCAGGUAGGGGAGAAUGGAAUUCCCGGUGUAGCGGUGAAAUGCGCAGAUAUCGGGAGGAACACCGGUGGCGAAGGCGGUUCUCUGGGCCUGACCUGACGCUGAGGAGCGAAAGCGUGGGGAGCGAACAGG
rnacentral:rRNA from 1 species